AGGGAAGAGCACACAAGGAAGGGACCAGAAUGGGAUUGUAAUGAGCAUCACCGAGGGGGUGGGGGGGCAUCCCCACCUGGGGAUGGCAGCUGUCAAUCUGGAAUUAGCACGAUCCUAACCUUAUAGCUUGGUUUUUCCGAUCCUUUCUGUGUACAAGUGACAUCCUUAUGUUCUUGUAUCUUAAAUCUAUGUUCAACGUCCAUAUGUUUCAUUUAUUCUAUGUCUAGCACGUCUUGCAAGUUACCAACUACUGUCUAUACUUAACACAUUUUAUGAAUUUUGCCUGUCUUUUAUUUUUCUUGCCUUCUACAGCAGACUUCAAUAUUCUCAGUAAUACAGCCAACACACAUUAUAUUCAUCUGAGCCAACCUUUGGCAAUCCCAGAACUUCUGAGGGGGCAUGUGGCUCAUCUCUGGUCAGUGAGACUCCAGGAGGAAUUUUAGGGGGCAUCUGGGAAAGAUUUUCUUCCCUGACAAAAAGCAAAAGCAAUGUAGGGAAGAAAUUCUUUGUCCUCUUUCCUCCCUCCAUGUGCUGCAGCAAUGAAAUCAUGGCUGGCACAUAGUAGACACUCAACAAAUGGUUGAAUGGAUGAACAAAUAGCGCCAGUGCCCAGCCUUCAUUUCUGUGACUCUGAAGUCAUGCUUUGUCUUCUGAUCAAGCUUCAUUCCUAAAUCCAGGGUUGGGAAGGUGGAAGCAGGGUAAUGAAAACAUAUCUUGUGAUGAUCAUUUAAUAAUAAUAAUAAUAUUAACAAUGAUAAUAAAUUAACCGCAGCUUCCAUUUAUUGAAAGUUUACGGGUCAGGAACAGUUCUAAGCACACAAUAACCACACAAGGCAGAAACAACUACCACCUUGUUUUGCCUAUUAAGACGCAGAGUCACAGAAUGUAAAGCCAGUUCCCUGAGCUCACUCAGCAGGCUGGUGGUGGCCUUGGAAGUGGGAUCUAGACACCUUGAGCUCAGAGUACACACACUUAGACACAACGCCAUCUGUAUAAGUUUCCCAUUGCUUCUGAAAAUCACAAUAGUGGGGCUUUACGUGACACAAAUUUGCUGUCAUACAGUUGGGGAGUUCAGCAGCCCAGCACUGUCUUCCCGGGCUAACUUUAAGGAGUUGACAGGGCUGCCUGUGGUCCUUUUGCAGGCUACAGGGUAGAGAACCUCUCUCUGCCUUUUCUAACUCUAGAAGUGGUCUGAAAUCCUUGCCUUCGGGCUGCAUCAUUCUGAGCUCUGCUUCCUUAUUACAUCUCCUUCUCAGAUGCUCCUGAUUCUCUCUUGCAAGACUCAUCCUUACAUUGGGCCCAUCUGGAUAAUCCAGGAAAAUUUCUUUGUCUCAAGGUCCUUAACUUAACCACAUUUACAAAAACCCUUUUGCCUUGUAGGGGAACAUAUUCACAGGUUGUGAGGUUAGGACAGGGAUGUCUUUGGGCGGUCAUUAUUCUGCUUACUCCACCAUACUGCCCAUGCAGGGCCUGGACUGAUGGGCCCCGAGUCCUGCGGCAGAAGUUCUGUCACACACCAAGGAAUGGAGAAGGGUACCCUCAAACCUUUGUCUGCUUUCCCAAGACCUUUCCCGAGCGGGGGAGGAAUACUUGGUGAAGCAGUAAUAUGAACCACGCAGGGGAGUCAUGGGGCCUUGGCCUCUUGUCCAUCAGCUCAUCUAGAUUGCAUUCUGCAUGUUGACUAGGUCCUUAGUUCUGCUUCGUUCCUCAGUUGGCUGGCUUCAUCUUUGUGUGUGUGCGUGUGCGUGUGUGUGUGUUUUCCUUACUGCUAAUUCAUUUCUAUUUCUUUUUUUUUUUUUUAAGAUUUUAUUUAUUUAUUUGACAGAGAGAGAUCACAAGUAGGCAGAGAGGCAGGCAGAGAGAGAGAGAGGAGGAAGCAGGCUCCCUACAAAGGAGAGAGCCUGACUCGGGGCUCGAUCCCAGGACCCUGGGAUCAUGACCUGAGCUGAAGGCAGAGGCUUUAACUCUCUGAGCCACCCAGGCGCCCCAUUCAUUUCUAUUUCUAUUUCAAAUUCAAGUUGGAGUAAUUUCUUUGAGGUCCCUUGAAUUCAUUCCUCCAGUCUCCCUGGUGAACACUUUGGUUCCAGGGAAAACCUUACCUCUCAGCUAUCUUGAAACAGACUUAUUGGUUUCUCUGGAUUCCGUCCAGUCACAGCCAUUUCCAGACCCAGCUUGUGUGAAUGGAUUCCCCCACAGCUCUGGCUUUCAAGCUUAUUUUCCAUUGCAGAGGAAGCCUCCCUUGAAGUGAAAGCCCACUGUAUGAGGCCAAUGGAAUGGAGCUGUCUUUGGCAGGGAGGGGUGUCCAGCCCCUCUCACUGGACCCCUUCCCCUCCGCCCACUUUUGCACGUCCCAUCCCCUCUGGGCCCAGGUUGAAAACCAUCCUUCUGCAGACUGAUUUGCUUCUCCCCAGUUAACUAUCUCAUUUCCUCGUGGCUUGCUUCCUUGAGUCCCUUGGCCAGCAGGAAGCUUUUGUCUUCUCUCCACAUCCCUCAUGCUCUUUGAAGGUCACAUUUCCCCAAACAAACCUAGCUUCUCAGAUGGGUCCGGAGGUGGGGCUACUUCUCACCUGCUUGCCUCUCACCUGUUCAGCCUUCAGAGAGGGAGACCAUGCUGAAAAGGGCAGGCCAGCUAGCUGCACAUCAGCUGGUCUCUCCUCCGUGUGAAUGUUUUACAUCCUUCAUGUCCACAGGCUGUAGUUUGCAAGAAGGAGCUCCUUGGAGGAGCAGAAAUGCUUCCAUCUCAGGGAGGCUGGAGUCCAUGGGCUGUUGGGAGAUGAGGGUAGGGGCAGAGCCAUGAGCAGGAUCUUCUGACAAGUCUAUGAAGCCCUUUGUAAAGUUGGUAUCGAGCCCUGUCCUCGGGCCCUCCAAGCCAGGUUUGGAGUGGGCUGUCUUCCCCACCGGGCAGCUCUGGACCGCAGGGACUGCUUUAGGAAUCCCUAGCGACUGGGACUGAGGAACUGUGGGUGUCCCUGUGGGCCAUUUACUGAGGGCAUCCUGGACCUGCUGAAACACACAAAACUUAACUUUCCAGGCCUCUCACUCAUGUGGGUCUUUUCCAAGUUCCGUUCCUUUCUCAUUCUAAAUAAAUAAUUACUUCCAUACCUAAUCUUGUAUUUAAAAUUGUGUAUUCUCUUUCUCACAGAAAGCCUUCCAAAUUCUAGAAGCUUCAGACCCCCUAAAACCUGGAUGUAUCCCUGCAAACCACAGUCUCAGGGCUCUCCCAGGACACCCAGGGACCCAUGCUCUCGGGGAUCCCUAGGGGAGGCAAAGAUGCUCAUCUCCAAGGCUUUCCAAGGCAUUUGGAGUACUUUGUGUACAGGAUGUCUAUGACAGAUGUUCUGGCAGAAGGCAGGGGGGCCUAAGUUCUGAAAUGCUUCUUGUCCCAUCUGCAGCAUGCAGGUCCCACUGUGGAAACCCAGGAGACUAGGGAAGGCCUGCUUUCUGCUGGGUGCUUGCCCUUGGGCCACACGGCUCCUACAUCCCACUUUGGAUAGUCUUUCUGGAAGGAGGAGUCAACAUUGUCCCUUCUCUCCAGGAUGGCUUCUCCAUCAGGCCAGGACUCCUGGUCUAGGCUCCAACCUGGCAGUACUGGUAGCUGACUUCAAUUCCUAAAUCUAGCUCUAAGAGUCAUAUCCUACAAAAUGUGUGAGUUUGCCUAUCUCAGGAGUUGGGAACUCAGCGCCUAGGACCCAGUCGGCUUUGCAUUGUUUCAUAGUCACUGACUCAAGUCAGAUCUACAAAGCAAGUGAUAGCUAACACCGUUUUAUGGUUUCAUUUUAAAGAUUUAUUUGAGAGAGAGAGAGAGCGAGAGCACAAACAAGGAGGGGCAGAGGAUGAGAGAGAGAGAAUCCCAAGCAAACUCCCCACUGAACAUGGAGCCCGGACGCAGGGCUCAAUGUCACAACUCUGAGAUCAUGAACCUGAGGAAAUCAAGAGUCAGGUGCUUAACUGACUGAGCCACCCAGGCACUCCAGCAAACACAGUUUAAAAAAUGUAUAUGGACACUUCUAGAAAUAGAUAGUGGAUUAAAGCUUCCUCAUAGAAUUUCUCUUUCUCAAUCCCUAACAAAAGACAGUAGACAAAACCACAGGGGAAAUUUACUAUCAGUAACCAAUACAAUAAACUUCAAAUUUGACAUCCAGAGAAAGAUACAAAAGAUGACAUGGAGUGGCAUAGAACAUUUCUGCUCCCUCCCCUGUCCUGAACCCCUAGAAAUGAACAUAAUCCUGAACAUUCUCCCUAGUGCUCCUGAAUCUGGAAGGAAACAGAUGUGAGUCAUGCCCUUGUAUUCUUCCUCUUCUGAAUGAACCAUAUUAAAAAGUGUGCUGGGGAGAAAUAGGGGAAGCAGAGAGCAUGACCCAUGGAGCUGACUCAGUUGAUGGAAAGAAAACCCCUUAGAACAACACUCCAAUUUGAGAAAUUGACACAAACCUGAGUUUCCCCUUUCCUUACAAAAAGUAUAUAAGAUCCCCCUCUCGGUCCCCAAUCAAAUGACCUGAGCCUUGUGCAGGACGUUAACCAGAACCUCAGGACAGUCGCACACGCACGCAUUCCCACAAGGGCUGCCCUCUGCUUCAACUGAGCUUUCCUCUUUCCCCUCCUCCACUUCUGACUACCAAAAAGUGUACACAAUCCAAACACUCUGCCUCUCACUUAGCUCAGAGGGAAAAACAGACUGAUCUCAAAGAGUGAGGUCAUAGUCAAUGAGUUCUUCUCUCCUGCCAUCACGUUACAGCAGCAGAAGGUAAGUCUGGAUGGAGCCACCAAAUCAGAUGAAAAGAAAUGGAGGCAAACACAUGGCAGCUCAUAAUUAAUAAGUAGAGGGAAAACAGUAAGCAAAAGGCAAAGGUUCCUCAACACCCUUGUCACCCCACCCUGCCCCGACCAAAGGAAAUUGCUUUCAAUUGCUUCACAGAGAAAACAAUAAGAACAUGAAUUUAAUAACUGAAGGCUCAAAGAUAGGGUGAUAAAAUGAGAAUUGAUAGCAAGGAAACAAAUUGAGGACAAAAACAGCAUCAUGUUAGAACAGAUAACUUAGAACGAACAAGAGAGGCAACUAACCACACCGAAACUUACAUUACUGAAUUGAGGCAGCUAAACAGAGGUAAAGAGAUUUAAGAAACUGGAAUUAAUAGAAAUGGGGUACAUACAAAGAUGAUCCAGUAUAAGGAUUUGUUAGUAUCCUUGAAGGAGGAAAAUUAAAACAACAACAACAACAACAACAACAACAACAAAAACAGAGCCAAAGGAGAGUGUCUAAUACAGGAAAAAUGUAAAUUGCAGAUUGAAAGACCCAUGAUUUCCAGAAAAGCUUGAUUCAGAAUGUUUAAUACUAAGACAUGUCUUAGUUAAAUUGUUGAACUAAAAAAAAGUGAUGGAAAGUGACUCCUUUAGGCAUACAAGCAGGAAAAAGAGGUCAUCUACAAGGAGGAAAAUUCAGACUUGUCUCAGAUUUCUUCCAGAGAAAAAAGUGCAACACCUACCAUAUUCUAUGCGAAAGAAGGGGAGACCUGAGAACAUUACCAUCAGCCAAAAUCUGGUUCCAAUGUAAAGUCAACAGGCAGACAUUCUUAAACAUCCAAAACCCUUCUUGAUGAAAUAAGGUAACGAUGAAACUCAGUCCACGAAGAGCUAAAUUGAAAUAAAGAGCUUGCAAAUGGAGAAGCCUUGAUAAAAAGGUUGGAAUUAAUUUAAAUCUAGAUCCUAUACCAAGUAACUAUGCAAUUAUGUUUUGGUUUUUUUAUUUUUAUUUUUUUUUGCAAUUAUGUUUUUAUAGAACAGAUACAUUUCUCAUAAACCCGGAGGAUGUAAUGACUACAAUAUAAGUAAGGGAGAUGGAAAAAUGGAAAGAAUCAUAAGAGCUAAGAUGCCUUUGCAUGCCGACAUGUGAAAUUGUUAUUUUUUUAAAAAAUGACUGAAUAUCUUAAUGUUUUUCACCAUUUUUGUUUACCCUCAGAGGUACCCUUCAAUGAGUAAUGUCUCUUGUGGUCAAGAAACAUUACUUGAAGGUUCACUCUUCCUUCAGUUUCAAGUAGAAUUAAAUGUAAUACUUUGAAUUCAAAUAGCAUCUGUAGUAUGGUCCAGUUCUUACGAAGAAGCUCUGUGACCUUCCCUCCUAUCUUUAUGCACAGAAAGUUUUCUGGAAUGAUGUGAUGUUAUGGCUAUUUCUAUGGUCGAUUCUGAAAGGUCGUAUACAGCUGAUUAUUUUUUUGCUUGUCACUUUUUUAAUAUUUUAAUUUUCUGAUACAUCUAUGAAUACAAAAAUUUUAAAUAUUAGAAACAAAAUGUUCUCUGGCUCCUCACUGAAAGAAAGAAAAAAAAACUUGGCAGAGGGAUGCUAUUUCCCAGUGUCUACUCUCUUCACAUUUUAUAGACUUUUUAGCAUAUACUUGAUGACCAGUAUACAGACAGACCCUGUUUCCCAACUGGGGUUCUGGCUGAUAGGAUAUAGGCAUACAUACCAUGUGGCAGCUUUCGGCUUAUUGGAGAGUACCUGCUCAUUUUCUCUUUAUCACUUUCAUUCCCUCCUGCUGUCUGGAAUGCAGAUAUCACUAUAUGGGACCAUGAGGUCAAGACCUUGCAAAGCAAAGGGACACAGAAGAUAACUACUAUAUAGCAUAUGAAACACCAUGAUAGAGAGGAACAAAGUGAAUACAUUGAGUCCAAAAGGACCAGUGGAGCCAGUUCACUUCAGUGACAAGCUACCGUUUGUCUAGAAGAGAAGAGAAAGCCAUUUCAGGGGCCCAGAUUCCAUUAGGACGUCUCCCCCAAAUCCCUGGAACAAGCAGGGUGAUGACAAUUUGCAAUCUGGUGCCUUGGCCGUGGAGGUGAAAUAAGCAUCCUGCGCAUUCCUUGCGCAAGAAGUCAAUUCGCAGGAGCUGAAGGCUGGUCUCUUCCCGGGAAGGCCGCCGGG